rnacentral:rRNA from 2 species
AGAGUUUGAUCCUGGCUCAGAACGAACGCUGGCGGCAGGCUUAACACAUGCAAGUCGAACGCACCGCAGGUGAGUGGCAGACGGGUGAGUAACGCGUGGGAACGUGCCCUUCAGUUCGGGAUAACCCAGGGAAACUUGGGCUAAUACCGGAUACGUGCGAGAGCAGAAAGAUUCAUCGCUGAAGGAUCGGCCCGCGUCUGAUUAGCUAGUUGGUAGGGUAAUGGCCUACCAAGGCGACGAUCAGUAGCUGGUCUGAGAGGAUGAUCAGCCACAUUGGGACUGAGACACGGCCCAAACUCCUACGGGAGGCAGCAGUGGGGAAUAUUGGACAAUGGGCGCAAGCCUGAUCCAGCCAUGCCGCGUGAGUGAUGAAGGCCUUAGGGUUGUAAAGCUCUUUCGUCCGGGACGAUAAUGACGGUACCGGANGAAGAAGCCCCGGCUAACUUCGUGCCAGCNGCCGCGGUAAUACGAAGGGGGCUAGCGUUGUUCGGAAUCACUGGGCGUAAAGGGCGCGUAGGCGGCCUGAUAAGUCNGGGGUGAAAGCCUGUGGCUCAACCACAGAAUUGCCUUCGAUACUGUCGGGCUUGAGACCGGAAGAGGUAAGUGGAACUGCGAGUGUAGAGGUGAAAUUCGUAGAUAUUCGCAAGAACACCAGUGGCGAAGGCGGCUUACUGGUCCGGUUCUGACGCUGAGGCGCGAAAGCGUGGGGAGCAAACAGGAUUAGAUACCCUCGUAGUCC